UCGAAGCCUAGAAAGCACGACCGCGCACAAGUUUAAAANNGAGGGCAAGCUUUGGAAGCCCCCGGGCCGCCCUUAGCCCCCUCGCUCGGCUGGCUGGGAGCCUUGUGCUCUCCGUCUUCCGAGACUAACGAACCCCGGCGCGGACAGCGCCAAGGAAUCUAAAACGAAAGAACUUGUCCCUUCGGCCCGACCUCGGGCUGCUGGGGGCAUGUCCGUUCAAAAAUAUCAUAACGACUCUCGGCAACGGAUAUCUCGGCUCUCGCAUCGAUGAAGAACGUAGCGAAAUGCGAUACUUGGUGUGAAUUGCAGAAUCCCGUGAAUCAUCGAGUCUUUGAACGCAAGUUGCGCCCGAAGCCUUUAGGCCGAGGGCACGUCUGCCUGGGCGUCUCGCACUGCGAUGCCCCCCAUACAAGUAUGGGGAGCGAAGCCUGGCCUCCCGUGAGCCCCAUCUCGCGGAUGGCUUAAAAACGAGCCUCGAGACGGUCAGACGUCGCGACAAGUGGUGGUUAAAAGGCUUCGGCCUUCGAUCUUUGCACGUCGCGAGUCCCCGCCUUCAAUGGCUCGAAAGUAACCCAAGCGGAGUGCGUCCAUCGUGCUGCCAGCAUC
rnacentral:misc_RNA from 1 species